GAUGCAGCCUGCCGCGUGUGUGAUGAAGGCCUUCGGGUCGUAAGCACUGUCAGCGGAGAGGACGGCACUGAGAUAUAUGUUCGCUGAUUGACGUUACCCGCACAGAAAGCACCGGCUAACUCCGUG
rnacentral:rRNA from 1 species